rnacentral:rRNA from 1 species
AUGCUUAAGACAUGCAAGUCGAACGGUAACAGGCAAAAGCUUGCUUUUGUGCUGACGAGUGGCGGACGGGUGAGUAACACGUGGAAAUCUACCCAGUAGCGGGGGAUAAGUCAGAGAAAUUUGAUCUAAUACCGCAUACGCCCUACGGGGGAAAGGCUUUGGCCACUAUUGGAUGAGUCCGCGUUAGAUUAGCUGGUUGGUGAGGUAAGGGCUCACCAAGGCGACGAUCUAUAGCUGGUCUGAGAGGAUGAUCAGCCACAUUGGGACUGAGACACGGCCCAGACUCCUACGGGAGGCAGCAGUCGGGAAUAUUGGACAAUGGGCGCAAGCCUGAUCCAACAAUACCGCGUGUGUGAAGAAGGCCUGCGGGUUGUAAAGCACUUUCAGUUGGGAAGAUAAUGACGUUACCAACAGAAGAAGCACCGGCUAACUCCGUGCCAGCAGCCGC